AAACAGGCAGAAACCACUGCAGGCCUCAUUUGCGUUGCCAUUUUUAAGCGUACAGGAAGAGAGAGAACAACUGAGACUAAGCCAUCGAGCGCCACGGUAUCGGCCUUCUGUCCUGCGGCUGAACAGCUACUUAUCAGGUCACAUAAGCCACCCAUUGAUUCCCAUUACUGAAUCUUGUUAUUGUUGGUUUGUAUGGCUCAAGGGAGAGUUUACUGCUUGCCACUUGAAUCAGUUGACUUACAGUGUUCCAUUUGUGCUCAUUAAGGCAUGGGUCAUUGAAGGGCAACAUGCUUUCGUCACAGUUUGGGGAAAAUAGAUCAUUUCACACUCAAUUUAAAGCACAAUAGAGUGCCAUUAAUGUUCCUGUAAACCUAUGUUUCUAUUACCAAAAAAUACAUCAUUUGCAUUUGGGGGGUUGUUUAAUGUGCAUGCCACUUAAUUUUAUUCCUGGAUGAAGGGACUCUAGACUCAUUUCCAAAAAUGUCAUAGAAGCUGUAACAUGUAGCAGCCCUUCCACUGAUAGCCAAAGGUCUGGUUUCUUAGACUAUGUUUACAUAAGGCAGGACUUUGACUUCUUAUUUGAAACGUUGCAGGUUUAACGGAUACUAUAUUUGAUUUUUUUAUUUUUUUUUUCUUCCAGGCAGAUUUGAAAGACAGAGCACGGAAAGAUAAUGCAUUUACCAGAGUCUAUUACAUUGUACUUCUUAUGGUUUGAACAUCCUUUGACCUUGCUGUAAAGCACUCUUUGCUUCUGAUGGCAGAGAUGAGUCUGGAUCUGGAUGCCGGUUAUAAGCUGUCUGGCCUUGGAGGAGAAGAGAGGGUGGAGACAGAGGUCAUCAUCAUCGCCUGCCCUGGGCCUUCUGAGAGACACGUUCGCAGGCCUGGCAGCUCCUCUGAAAGUACUGAAAAGCCUCUGAUUGAAGAUGCUCUGGAAGAGAGCGAGCCAGAGAGGGAGAGACAGACAGAGAGAGAGAAGGUGGAAUAUGGUCGGAGGGAAUGAAACAAGCAGUCAAACUGUCAAUAUCUCUCUCUCUCUCACUCGGCUCUCUCGUGGAGGUUGGUGCGGGGCCAGUCAAUACACUGUCAGAGCUCCAUUUAGCAGUGACGUGGUGGGGAGGCCCAGAGAUGUGCCUGGCUGACAGAGAUGGAUGCUACGGUCCUCCACCGUCUGCAAGGACAAAGGGACACACAGACAGGCAGGCCGGCAAGGAGGGAAGGUGGUGCAGUCCUGCAUUACUGCUCUUUGCAACAGCCAUCAUCAUCUGCGGGGAGUUGAAUUGUGGUUAUGGGGGGCGGGGAUGGGCAAGUGUGCUGAAGAAGAGGAACUCGUUCUUUUCUGAAACCUCUAGUUUUGUCAGCUGCACAUGCAUUAUUCUCUGCUGUAGUGUGAGAACAGGCAGUCAAUUACACUGAUAUCAGUUGCAAUGAGAAAGAUGUACUUGUCAAGCAACGCAGUGCUGAACCGACAGCACAGUAGUAUUGUUGGGGGAUUGUUGGUGUGGUAAUCUGACUGUCAAAUUUCAACUGAGCUUUAUUUGUACUAACCCAGAAUAUUCUAUUAAUAUUCAAGUUUUAAGGUUAUGGCUUCUAAUUAGUAAUUUUUGCUCAUUGCAUGCAUUAUCAGUGGAUAGACUUCCCACUAAUGAAACUACUUAGACUGUGUGAAAGAUAUUUUUUCUCAUGUUGGCAUUAGAUAACCACAUUCUCACUCGCAUGUCAUCCAGAGAAACAUGUGAAGAAAAUGUGGUGACCAAAAAAGAACAUAAAUAAAUAAGAUAGGAAAAAAAAAAAAAAGCUUCCC
ensembl:lncRNA